CAUAGGUUAAUGAGGCGAACCGGGGGAACUGAAACAUCUAAGUACCCCGAGGAAAAGAAAUCAACCGAGAUUCCCCCAGUAGCGGCGAGCGAACGGGGAGCAGCCCAGAGCCUGAAUCAGUGUGUGUGUUAGUGGAAGCGUCUGGAAAGGCGCGCGAUACAGGGUGACAGCCCCGUACACAAAAAUGCACAUACUGUGAGCUCGAUGAGUAGGGCGGGACACGUGGUAUCCUGUCUGAAUAUGGGGGGACCAUCCUCCAAGGCUAAAUACUCCUGACUGACCGAUAGUGAACCAGUACCGUGAGGGAAAGGCGAAAAGAACCCCGGCGAGGGGAGUGAAAAAGAACCUGAAACCGUGUACGUACAAGCAGUGGGAGCACGCUUAGGCGUGUGACUGCGUACCUUUUGUAUAAUGGGUCAGCGACUUAUAUUCUGUAGCAAGGUUAACCGAAUAGGGGAGCCGAAGGGAAACCGAGUCUUAACUGGGCGUUAAGUUGCAGGGUAUAGACCCGAAACCCGGUGAUCUAGCCAUGGGCAGGUUGAAGGUUGGGUAACACUAACUGGAGGACCGAACCGACUAAUGUUGAAAAAUUAGCGGAUGACUUGUGGCU
rnacentral:rRNA from 1 species